UACGUAGGUGGCAAGCGUUGUCCGGAUUUACUGGGCGUAAAGGGCGCGUAGGCGGCCAGCACAAGUCAGUUGUGAAAUCUCCGGGCUUAACUCGGAACGGUCAACUGAUACUGCGCGGCUAGAGUGCAGAAGGGGCAACUGGAAUUCUCGGUGUAGCGGUGGAAUGCGCAGAUAUCAGGAGGAACACCGGUGGCGAAGGCGGGUCUCUGGGCAGUAACUGACGCUGGAGGCGCGAAAGCUAGGGGAGCAAACAGG
rnacentral:rRNA from 1 species